UGGGGAAUAUUGCACAAUGGGGGAAACCCGUGAUGCAGCGACGCCGCGUGGGUGACGAAGUAUUUCGGUAUGUAAAGCCCUAUCAGCAGGGAAGAAGAUGACAGUACCUGACUAAGAAGCCCCGGCUAACUACGUGCC
rnacentral:rRNA from 1 species